ACACAUGCAAGUCGAACGAUGAAACACCUUCGGGUGUGAAUUAGCGGCGAACGGGUGAGGAACACGUGAGAAAUCUGCCUUCACACUGGGAUAACUCCGGGAAACCGGGGCUAAUACCGGAUAUGAAAUCUGCGGGCAUCCGCGGAUUUGGAAAGUUUUUCGGUUGAAGAUGAUCUCGCGGCCUAUCAGCUUGUUGGUGAGGUAAUGGCUCACCAAGGCGACGACGGGUAGCCGGCCUGAGAGGGCGACCGGCCACACUGGGACUGAGACACGGCCCAGACUCCUACGGGAGGCAGCAGUGGGGAAUAUUGGGCAAUGGAGGAAACUCUGACCCAGCGACGCCGCGUGAGGGAUGAAGGCCUUCGGGUUGUAAACCUCUUUCAGUAGGGAAGAAGCGAAAGUGACGGUACCUACAGAAGAAGCACCGGCUAACUAUGUGCCAGCAGCCGCGGUAAUACAUAGGGUGCAAGCGUUGUCCGGAAUUAUUGGGCGUAAAGAGCUCGUAGGUGGUUCGAUACGUCGGAUGUGAAAAUCAGGGGCUCAACCCCUGACCUGCAUCCGAUACAGUCGAGCUAGAGUUUGGUAGGGGAGACUGGAAUUCCUGGUGUAGCGGUGGAAUGCGCAGAUAUCAGGAGGAACACCGAUGGCGAAGGCAGGUCUCUGGGCCAAUACUGACACUGAGGAGCGAAAGCGUGGGGAGCGAACAGGAUUAGAUACCCUGGUAGUCCACGCCGUAAACGGUGGGCGCUAGUUGUGCGAACCUUCCACGGUUUGUGCGACGCAGCUAACGCAUUAAGCGCCCCGCCUGGGGAGUACGAUCGCAAGAUUAAAACUCAA
rnacentral:rRNA from 1 species